rnacentral:lncRNA from 1 species
AACAGAAAGUGUCUGAAGCGGGGUUCCCUCGGUUUCGGUUUCGAUUUGGGUCGCACCUAGGUGCUUUCUUGGAGUGUCAGUGUUGCAUUAUAGAUCAUUCCAUGUCAUAUGAUGUGCCUCCUCCGGCACCAUGCGCGUCUUCAUCAGUCACGACAACCAAUCAAACAACCUUGCAGAGUUGUGGGUCCCACAAGGACAGUCCAACCGUAUUGUGCUUAGCUUGCAGGGUCAUUCCAUGAAAGUUGUAUAGUUUACUGAAGGGGAGUGCUGAGACAGUGAACGAAUGCUUGCAUACUGAUGCUGAUCUGUCCAAACUGACUCGUCUAGCCUCUAUUGCGUUCCUGUGCUGCAGCCCACCACUUUGGGGCUACUCACCUUGACACUCCGGAUCCGAUCUGCAGGUGCUGCUCUUUGCCUUUGACAUUUGCCCUAGGACCUGCCCGUCCAGCAAUGCCACCUUAUAUACAUAUCGCAGAUGGUUUGCUAGGCCAGAUUAUGUGCGCCACCCUUGCCAGCUCUUCCAGCAGCCUUUGAGUGCCCGUUGCUUGCGUGUACUGUUCAAGUUCAGGAUGGGCUGUCAUAGUCUGCCCAAUGUCUCGGGCCGCUGGGCCAGGUUCCUCGGCCCCAGCGUUUGUGCAUGCGUUGUGCCCAGCAGGGUAUUGGGAUUGAGCGCCACCUUGUGUUCGAGUGCCCUGCCUUGCAUUCUGUUCGGGAUAGGUAUCCUGGGUUGUUUGGUGCAGACAUUGUGACCCAUGCAGCAACUCAUGUGGCAGAUUGACAUUGUUGGUGUUGCCCAUUUCGUGAUGGAUUGUUUUGAUUAUUUGGAUGCUGCCAGUUCAUCCAAUCAGCCCUGGGCGGCUGGAGUGAUGUAAUCAUCCUUCCUUCCUUCCUUGCCUGCCUUCCUGUCUGUAACAACGGUCG